ensembl:miRNA
GGUUGGUGCAAAAGUAACUGCGGUUUUUGCCAUUACUUUUAAUACCAAAAAACCCCAAUUACUUUUGCACCAA